rnacentral:rRNA from 1 species
GACGAACGCUGGCGGCGUGCUUAACACAUGCAAGUCGAACGGAAAGGCCCCUUUGGGGGUACUCGAGUGGCGAACGGGUGAGUAACACGUGAGUAACCUGCCCUUGACUUCGGGAUAACUUCAGGAAACUGGGGCUAAUACCGGAUAGGAAUCCUUGCUGCAUGGUGGGGGUUGGAAAGCUUCGGCGGUUUUGGAUGGACUCGCGGCUUAUCAGCUUGUUGGUGGGGUAGUGGCUUACCAAGGCUUUGACGGGUAGCCGGCCUGAGAGGGCGACCGGCCACAUUGGGACUGAGAUACGGCCCAGACUCCUACGGGAGGCAGCAGUGGGGAAUAUUGCACAAUGGGCGGAAGCCGGAUGCAGCAACGCCGCGGGCGGGAUGACGGCCUUCGGGUUGUAAACCGCGUUCAGCAGGGGCGAAGCUUGUGGUGACGGUACCUGCAGAAGAAGCACCGGCUAACUACGUG